UACGUAGGGUGCAAGCGUUGUCCGGAAUUAUUGGGCGUAAAGAGCUCGUAGGCGGUCUGUCGCAUCGGCUGUGAAAACCCGGGGGCUCAACCCCGGGCCUGCAGUCGAUACGGGCAGACUAGAGUGCGGUAGGGGAGACUGGAAUUCCUGGUGUAGCGGUGAAAUGCGCAGAUAUCAGGAGGAACACCGGUGGCGAAGGCGGGUCUCUGGGCCGUAACUGACGCUGAGGAGCGAAAGCGUGGGGAGCGAAUGGG
rnacentral:rRNA from 1 species